UACGUAGGGUGCGAGCGUUAAUCGGAAUUACUGGGCGUAAAGCGUGCGCAGGCGGUUGGUUAAGGCUGAUGUGAAAGCCCCGGGCUCAACCUGGGAAUGGCAUUGGAAACUGGCUAGCUGGAGUGUGGCAGAGGGGGGUGGAAUUCCGCGUGUAGCAGUGAAAUGCGUAGAGAUGCGGAGGAACACCGGUGGCGAAGGCGGCGUCCUGGACCAACACUGACACUGAGGAGCGAAAGCCAGGGGAGCAAACGGG
rnacentral:rRNA from 1 species